rnacentral:rRNA from 1 species
UGGGGAAUUUUGGACAAUGGGCGAAAGCCUGAUCCAGCAAUGCCGCGUGUGUGAAGAAGGCCUUCGGGUUGUAAAGCACUUUUGUCCGGAAAGAAAUGGCUCUGGUUAAUACCUGGGGUCGAUGACGGUACCGGAAGAAUAAGGACCGGCUAACUACGUGCCAGCAGCCGCGGUAAUACGUAGGGUCCAAGCGUUAAUCGGAAUUACUGGGCGUAAAGCGUGCGCAGGCGGUUGUGCAAGACCGAUGUGAAAUCCCCGAGCUUAACUUGGGAAUUGCAUUGGUGACUGCACGGCUAGAGUGUGUCAGAGGGGGGUAGAAUUCCACGUGUAGCAGUGAAAUGCGUAGAGAUGUGGAGGAAUACCGAUGGCGAAGGCAGCCCCCUGGGAUAACACUGACGCUCAUGCACGAAAGCGUGGGGAGCAAACAGGAUUAGAUACCCUGGUAGUCCACGCCCUAAACGAUGUCAACUAGUUGUUGGGGAUUCAUUUCCUUAGUAACGUAGCUAACGCGUGAAGUUGGACCGCCUGGGGAGUACGGUCGCAAGAUUAAAAGCUC